GUACCACGUCUGUGCAUUUGUUCAGCUGGUGGAGAAAGGCGUGGAAGACUGGUGCAAGAGCAAACCCUCCUUUGCAGCCCAGAACUCAUUGUUGAGGUGAGUUGUGAUACAUAGAAGUGGGGGUAUG